rnacentral:tRNA from 1 species
GGCUCGGUAGCGUAACGGUCAACGCGCCUACACAUUACGUAGGAGAUCCCAGUUCGACUCUAGGCCGAGCUG